GACGAACGCUGGCGGCGUGCUUAACACAUGCAAGUCGAACGGAAAGGCCCUGCUUUUGUGGGGUGCUCGAGUGGCGAACGGGUGAGUAACACGUGAGUAACCUGCCCUUGACUUUGGGAUAACUUCAGGAAACUGGGGCUAAUACCGGAUAGGAGCUCCUGCUGCAUGGUGGGGGUUGGAAAGUUUCGGCGGUUGUGGAUGGACUCGCGGCUUAUCAGCUUGUUGGUGGGGUAGUGGCUUACCAAGGCUUUGACGGGUAGCCGGCCUGAGAGGGUGACCGGCCACAAUGGGACUGAGAGACGGCCCAGACUCCUACGGGAGGCAGCAGUGGGGAGUAUUGCACAAUGGGCGGAAGCGUGAUGCAGCAACGCCGCGUGCGGGAUGACGGCCUUCGGGUUGUAAACCGCUUUCGCCUGUGACGAAGCGUGAGUGACGGUAAUGGGUAAAGAAGCACCGGCUAACUACGUG
rnacentral:rRNA from 1 species